AGGAGGUUGGAGUGUUGGAGCUUCUGGAUGGAAGUCACUGGAGAUAUCAGUUCCUAUUGUAAUUUAUUUGUGAUCUUGACUGAGGGAUGAAAGUGUCCAAACCACUAAAACCUAAUUAGAACUAAUUUUCAAUCUUGCCAGUUGCAGCAAAAAGGCUAAGUGCUAAAUUGCCCUGUGGAGGUUACGUCACUCUGUUGUCUUCAUCCCGAUUUUUCUGGGUCAGGAUUGGGACACACUGACCUGCCAGAUAUCUAAUCAUCCCUGCGAUAUCCAGCUCAGUGGAUUAAUGAAGAAGAAGAAAACAUAGCCCUGCUGAAAAUGAACGUUUGGAAGAUGUGAAUUUUGAGUAUGUGAAUGAAACAGUCAGACAGGAAUACCGAAUGUGGACUGAGGAUGCCAAGGGAAUUGUUUCCAUAGAAACAAAACCAUGGAGGCUCACAUGGCUCCCCCAUCUCAGACUUACAAAUUCAUAUGAUUAUCUUAAUGGUCAACAUAAUGGAUUGAAAAGAGGUUUUUCUGUGAUGCUCACAGAAACUGCUGAGAUGCUGCUCACCGGUGCUGCACAGACCCAGGCAGAAUGGGAUGCUGUGAUGCUUCAGGAAGUAGCAGAAUCGUCAAAAAGGUGUUGA
rnacentral:lncRNA from 1 species